rnacentral:lncRNA from 1 species
ACUUAACCUCUCUGAGUCUCUGUAAAAUGGAGGGAAAAAAUGCUUCUCUGGAAGAGUGGUUAAAUACUUGAAAGAGGCAAUGUAACUGUCUUAUGCCUAGAGCAUAGUAGGUGCUUAACAAACAGUAGCUUAUUUCUGGCAUUAUAAUUAGAUGAGGGGAAGGUCCCUCCUAGCACAGACCCUGGAAGAUUCUAUGACUCAGGGAGUGGGCAGAUUGCAUCCAUGGUCCCUGCCCUCAUUUGUAGCUACCUGAAGGGCCUGUCUCAGCAAUAAAAACAGCCAAGUGAGCACAGGCAGAGAAACAUCAUUUCCUCCUCCUCUUGAGGGCAGGAGUCCAGGCGCAGCCCCAGCAGCAGGUUGGAAUAAAUGCAGAUGCUGCAAAUUGAUGGAGGCCUGGUGUCUUCCAGAGUGGAGGUAAAGGCUGGCUGAGGAAUCAGUGAGGCCAGGAAGAGGGCUCAGCUGAGCAACUGAUCAAAGCAUCCCUCUUCAGGAAGGAGCUUCCUGUGUUUUCUCUGGGAACUCACCUGUUUUCCACUCCAGACUCUCCAAGAUAUGCAGAGCUUUGGGCCAGGAUCCUACAGCCACGGGUCAUGCAGAGCCAGUUGGCCACAUCCUUUGGGCCAAAUUUGGUCCUAACCAGGUCUUACCACGGUAACUGCUAACCAGUCCAUCUUCAGUUAAUAUUUCAUGCGUAAGAUGUUUCAUGAAGUAACUGAAUGGGCUAAUGGGUUGUUCACUGGAUAAGACUCCCAGAUACUCCCUUUCAUGCCAUUCCCCAGAAUUCCUUCACCUCCCAGUGCUGUCUGUAAGGGUGAAGAUACUCCAUUUUGCCCCAUGCUCUUUGCUGUGCCCCAGAUAGGCUCAAACAUUUUUCCCUUUUGGGGAUUUUGCAGGUAGGAAUUGUUGAACAUCUUACCAUUUAAUCCAGAAGUUAUGUCCUUUAAGGAAUCGACCCUGAGCCUGUGAGUUUUACUUUGGGUUGGGGGUGAAGGAGUGGACCUUGCAGCAUUCAAGGUCAUCCAAGAUCAUCCAGUUAAGGCCCCUAAGGUCACUACGGGGGGAAAAGCCUGGUGAGGGAAGAGAAAGCAUUAGGGGGAGCUGCACCGUGCUGAGAAAUAACACCACACAGAAGUCUGUGUUCUAAUCUCAGCUCUGCUUUGCAUUACUGUGUGACCUGGAGCUGAUCACAGCCCUCUGAGUCUUAAAGGGGUUGGACAAGGCCAACUAAACAUUAGAAACACCUGAAAGUGCUGGUUAAAAGGAAGAAUGCAUGAGCUUCACUCCAGAUUUACUAUAUCAGAAUUUCCAGGGUCAGGGUCCAAGAAUCUGCAUGUUUAAUACGCUUUCCACAUGAUUUUUCCCCCCUCUGGACUUAAGAAAACAAUGGGCAAGUCAGCUCAUGAAGAACUUUUCAGAUAUUCAGACUAUUAUUCUGAGAGAGAAAAUAUUGGCAGAGAACAGAUGGGAUUUUUCUCAAGGAAAAGAAAUGGAAAUCCUACAUCUUGCAAGAAAUAGAAAAAAAUAAAUAAACUGUUUGAAGAAGAAUCACAUCAGGCUGGCAGGAGAGAGCCUGCGGCUCGGUGUCUGACCCAGAAUGUUAAAGCCAGCCUGGCUUGGCUCCAGGAUAAAGGACACUCUGUCAGCCUCUCCACAUUGAUUCAUCUCCCCAGCCCCAAGAUCAGGAGAGCAUUCUGUUCCUUGAAGCAUUUUAUGACUGUAAGUCAGAAGUGCUGCAGUUUUAAUAAAAAGCUGUAUUGUCCUGA